CAGAGCUUAACAACUCCCAAACCCCUGUGAACAUACCACCGUUGCUUCGGCGGGUACGCCCCGGGCGCGCGCAAGCGUGCCCCGGAACCAGGCGCCCGCCGGGGGAAACAAACUCUUGUCUUACUUUUGUAUCGUCUGAGUGGAUUAUUAAAUAAAUCA
rnacentral:misc_RNA from 1 species